UUGACCUUGCUCAGAUCUGCUAUCAUGGACCUGUGAGAAUUUCUUCUCCUUAUCUUUUAAGCAGAACAUUUGCAGACUUUGUUAGCUUGUUCUCACAAAAAGACUGAGAAGGUGGAUAACUCCCCUGGUCGGCAUUUUUUUAUUUGCUCUGAGAACAAUGGAGUUUAAAUUAACUAUUUCUUUUCUCUCUGGGAAGAAGAGUUUUUAUUACGUUAACUAUCAGCCAUUAAUGGAUAUGUAUUAGUCUGGUCUCUUAGUUUUUAGAGCCUUUUAUUAAUUUAAAACUAUACUUUUAGGUCAGUGAAUGUAGAAUCUGUACAAGCACCACAAUCAAAUGGUUCUGACUGUCUACAUUGGGCUUGAAUACUGAUAGAAACCACAACUGUAGUUUCCGCAUCUUCAAUCUUGUGAACGGCAAUGUUGAUUUGCAAGACAUAAUGAGCACCAACUGUCUUUGAAUGCGAUAGGCCCAUUUUCUGGUUGAGCUUGGAAUUCCAGGACCAUUUCCUUGAUGGUUUCGUAACGGUCCUUUAGCAGGUGUUGGGUCUGGGUGUUGGAGGUCUCGAUACUGACACACUCGGCGUUGAAGACCUAGAAGUUGGUGUGGACUUUGAUAUCAAGCGAGUCGACUGGAGUCCGGAUGGAGACAGCAUCGACUUUGAGAGCCAUAGCCAUUCUGUCCUCCGGGUGCGAUGUGUGUCUCUUGCAAUCCAAUCUUGGAGUGGAGCCAUGAAGAGGUCUGAACACCAGGGUCGGGGUUUUAGACCAUUUUAGUUGUACAGACCCAAGCCGAAUGCCCCAAUGUUGAUGCAUUUGAUGUAAAAGUGGUUUCAGCUUUUGGUGUUGACUUUUGGUGUUGACUGAUUCAGGGCGUCACCAUACAGCGUAUCACGCAACCUGAGAGGCCCAUUAUAAAUAUAAUAAUUAAUCAUCAUCAUCAUCAUCAUCUAGUUUGCUUUGAAAAAGACAUGCAUAUCUUGCAUGCCAAAGUAUUAUUUUGCGCCCCAAGGUAGAUCAGCCAGGAAUCAUGCCUAUCCUGGGAAGGCAACUUGGUUCCACAUUUAAAAGAUUUCUUCUCUAUUUUCGAAGCCAUGUCCAUUCCGCGUCUUAGCCCACAAAUAGUCCGUUUUCCGAAGAGUAGUCAAAACCAGUCUGAUAGUCAAAAUCCUCACAGAAAAACCAAAGAGUAGUCAAGAAACAGUUUGGGUCAGAGGAAAUAAUAUACGACUCUCUCUCUCUCUCUCUCUCUCUCUCUCUCUCUCUCUCUCUGAAACAAUAUACUACUAUACUAUGUGUGUGAUCGCUACGGUGGUUGAAAAGGAACUAACGAAGUGUGCCCAGCCCCACCUUUUAUACUCCCAUGAUAAGCACAUGGGGGCAGAGUCUGGAUGCCAAGAGGAGCGAGAGCACUUGGCUGUGAGGUUCCUGAGCAGGCGCAGUACCUAUUCUUAUGCGUUACAAUGGAUCACAAUCCAUAUAUGCUAGUACUGGUGGCACUGGAUACUUUGUAUUCAUCCAGCAGACCUUUCUGUUUAAACGGUAAGACUCCAUAACAGAUCACAGAAUGCAUUUAACACUGUGGAGUUUCAUAUAACACUGGACUGGAGGUGGGAAGAAUAUGGAUUUUGCUCCUUGAGAAACAAGUCCAAAUCCUUACAAGCAGAGCUAGGUGUGCCAUUCCUAAUAUUUGCAAAGUAGUCUUGAAUAGCUGUGACCAUUAACACAACCCUACCUAUAUUUCAAGGACAUAGCUUCUUUCUAUUUCCAAGUCUCUUUGAAAAGGAGAAUGCUUUGCACAUGUAGAGAACAUCAGUUAAUCACUAUUUAAAAAGAUUAAUGGAAUUUUCAUUACUUUGAAACUGUAUUUCUGUCCAGCUCAAUCAAAAAAUGUACCUUAAACAUUACAUUGAUUUCUUCUCCCAAGGGAUCUACAUUCACCAAAGCAACCUUCAGAGGCACUGCAUUAGAACUGAAGUAGGAACAUGUCUGUCAAGACAGUUUACAUUAAAUUACCACAGGAUUAGGAUUACUGGUAACAACACCACAAAAAGGUUGUAGGCAGAUUUCCAAGUAUGUUUCAUAAAAUAAUUUUCAGUAGCAAUGAAAAAAAGAGAACCAUACAGGAUACUAUGGUUUACCAGUGCCAACUCAUGACAUUAGCCAAUGAUGAUACCCACUUCUUUCCCUCCCCUCUCCCCUGUCCAACCCCUGCUAUUAAAACCACACUGCUUUCUUCCUCCUUUCAAAUCUCAACAGCUUUCUUAUUGGGAAGGGAAAAGGAAAAGCUGCAGUGUGCCAUUUGCCUUCCUUCCUCAGCAGGCCCGCCAUAGGAUGGCUGCUGGGUGGGCUACUGUGCUGCCCUUGAGAACUUGCCCACAGUCUGCCACUUGAAGUGGCCCUCUUCACACUGCUUCAUAGUAGGGCUGGUCUUAAUGGUCCAAAUUAAAAGAAGGGUUUAUGGUGGGAUUCCGCCCCCCGCCUCCACAGAUUAUUUUCAAUUUCUAAUGGUUUUACAGAGAUGCUGUGGAAUUGGAAUAAGAUGAUUUAUAACAGUAUAUACCUUUACUUGUUUGUAUACCUAAUUCCUAAAUUUCAAUGUUUGUUUUAAAACAAAUGAUACAUCCAGCCUUCAUUGUUGCAAGAAUUUUUUUUUGCAUAAGAAUGUGGUUUUGAACAAAUUCCUAUUCCUUCCCCAUGACUGUGAACCCACCCUCACUUCUUCAGCAUUUUAGUAGUUGUCAAAAUUAUGAAAUUUGAAGACACAAGUACUGCAGACAAGUGCAGCCAUGAAAUGAAGUUGUAUUCAGAUAUCCAGAAUUUAUCUUAUUUGUGUAUUCUUUAGCUUUUUCAAAGUACAUACCCCAAAUCCCCAUAUAUAGAAUUUCAAUACAACAUCCCCGAGCCAUGGUAGCUAAAUGGGACCUCCCAUAUUCAGAUGCAAAAUAUCUGCGAGUACCAAGUGAUGGGAACAAAGAGUAUGCUCUUGCCUUCAUGUCCAGCCUGUGAAUUUGCCAGAGGCACUUAGCUGGCCCCUAUUAGAAACAGAAUGUAGGUCUAGAUGGCCUGUUCCAGUAAGCAAGUUAAGUUCUUAUCUUCCUUUUACAGAUUCAAAUUCUCCUUCAAACAUUAAAGUUUCUACCCAUCUACAUUAAUUGCCUUGCAUGGAGGAUGGUGCUAAAAGAUGGUUGAAACUGCAUCCUUUUGAUAUUCCACCUUCUGGUGAUUCUUGCAGCAAUUAUUAUAAUAUGUAGAUAUGUAGUACACUAGGAAAAAAUAGAAAUUUAGACAUGCCAUACCUUUACAUUCAGUUCUUUUGCGACAAGGCUGGGACUGAGAGGCAAACGGCAUUUGUUUUUUAAGAAAAAGGACUGAACACGUUCCAUUCCAUUUUGCAAGACGGUCUGUUAAUGAACAAUGUAGAAUUAAAAAUGUAAGUGAGAUACUGAGAAAUGUUUUUGUUUAAGUGUAUUUUUAGUAAUACAGGC